AAUGAACGCUGGCGGCGUGCCUAAUACAUGCAAGUCGAGCGAAGCGGGGACGGGUGAGUAACACGUGGAUAACCUCCUCUAAGACUGGGAUAACUUCGGGAAACCGGAACUAAACCGGAUACUUAUCGAUGGAUCCGAGCUCCAUUAGCUAGUUGGUAAGGUAACGGCUUACCAAGGCAACGAGGCAUAGCCGACCUGGGAGGGUGAUCGGCCACACUGGAACGGAGACACGGUCCAGAAUCCUACGGGAGGCAGCAGUAGGGAAUCUUCCGCAAUGGGCGAAAGCCUGACGGAGCAAAGCCGCGUGAGUGAGGAAGGUCUUCGGAUCGUAAAACACUGUUAGUAGGGAAGCGGUACCUAAUCAGAAAGCCCCGGCUAACUACGUGCCAGCAGCCGCGGUAAUAC
rnacentral:rRNA from 1 species